UACGGGGGGAGCAAGCGUUGUUCGGAUUUACUGGGCGUAAAGGGCGGGUAGGCGGCCACCGCAAGUCAGUUGUGAAAUCUCUGGGCUUAACCCAGAAAGGUCAACUGAUACUGCGGGGCUAGAGUGCAGAAGGGGCAACUGGAAUUCUCGGUGUAGCGGUGAAAUGCGUAGAUAUCUGGAGGAACACCGGUGGCGAAGGCGGCAUCCUGGACCGAGAUUGACGCUGAUGCGCGAAAGCCAGGGGAGCAAACGGG
rnacentral:rRNA from 1 species